GGCGCACGGGUGCGUAACACGUGGGUAACUGCCCUCCAAAGGGGGAUAACCCGCGAAAGGCGGGCUCAAUACCGCAUGACAUUCCGGUGACUUCGGUCGCCGGAAUCAAAGCUCGUAAGGGCGUUGGAGGAGGGGCCCGCGGCCGAUUAGCUUGUUGGCGAGGUAACGGCUCACCAAGGCUUUGAUCGGUAGCCGGUCUGAGAGGAUGGCCGGCCACACUGGAACUGAGACACGGUCCAGACUCCUACGGGAGGCAGCAGUGGGGAAUCUUGCGCAAUGGGCGAAAGCCUGACGCAGCGACGCCGAGUGGGGGAUGAAGCUUCUCGGAGUGUAAACCCCUUUCGACCAGGACGAAACGACCCGAAGGGCUUGACGGUACGGGUAUAAGAAGCCCCGGCUAACUACGUGCCAGCCGACGC
rnacentral:rRNA from 1 species